UACGAGGGGGGCGAGCGUUGUUCGGAAUUAUUGGGCGUAAAGGGUGCGUAGGCGGUUUGGUAAGUCUUGUGUGAAAUCUCCAGGCUCAACUUGGAGUCUGCACGAGAAACUGCCGGGCUUGAGUGUGGGAGAGGUGAGUGGAAUUCCCGGUGUAGCGGUGAAAUGCGUAGAGAUCGGAAAAGAACACCAACGGCGAAAGCACUCUGCUGGGCCGACACUGACACUGAGAGACGAAAGCUAGGGGAGCGAAUGGG
rnacentral:rRNA from 1 species